AGAGUUUGAUCCUGGCUCAGGAUGAACGCUGGCGGCGUGCUUAACACAUGCAAGUCGAACGGGGAACAUUUUAUGGAAACUUCGGUGGAAAUAGCUUGUUCCUAGUGGCGGACGGGUGAGUAACGCGUGGGUAACCUGCCUCACACUGGGGGAUAACAGUCAGAAAUGACUGCUAAUACCGCAUAAGCGCACGGGAUUGCAUGAUCCAGUGUGAAAAACUCCGGUGGUGUGAGAUGGACCCGCGUUGGAUUAGCCAUUUGGCAGGGUAACGGCCUACCAAAGCGACGAUCCAUAGCCGGCCUGAGAGGGUGGACGGCCACAUUGGGACUGAGACACGGCCCAUACUCCUACGGGAGGCAGCAUUAGGGAAUUUUCGGCAAUGGGGGAAACCCUGACCGAGCAACGCCGCGUGAAGGAAGAAAGGUUUUCGGAUUGUAAACUUCUGUUAUAAAGGAAGAACGGCGGCUACAGGAAAUGGUAGCCGAGUGACGGUACUUUAUUAGAAAGUCACGGCUAACUACGUGCCAGCAGCCGCGGUAAUACGUAGGUGGCAAGCGUUAUCCGGAAUUAUUGGGCGUAAAGAGGGAGCAGGCGGCAGCAAGGGUCUGUGGUGAAAGCCUGAAGCUUAACUUCAGUAAGCCAUAGAAACCAGGCAGCUAGAGUGCAGGAGAGGAUCGUGGAAUUCCAUGUGUAGCGGUGAAAUGCGUAGAUAUAUGGAGGAACACCAGUGGCGAAGGCGACGAUCUGGCCUGCAACUGACGCUCAGUCCCGAAAGCGUGGGGAGCAAAUAGGAUUAGAUACCCUAGUAGUCCACGCCGUAAACGAUGAGUACUAAGUGUUGGAUGUCAAAGUUCAGUGCUGCAGUUAACGCAAUAAGUACUCCGCCUGAGUAGUACGUUCGCAAGAAUGAAACUCAAAGGAAUUGACGGGGGCCCGCACAAGCGGUGGAGCAUGUGGUUUAAUUCGAAGCAACGCGAAGAACCUUACCAAGUCUUGACAUCCCGAUGACCGGCACGUAACGGUGCCUUCUCUUCGGAGCAUCGGAGACAGGUGGUGCAUGGUUGUCGUCAGCUCGUGUCGUGAGAUGUUGGGUUAAGUCCCGCAACGAGCGCAACCCCUAUCCUUAGUAGCCAGCGGUUUGGCCGGGCACUCUGAGGAGACUGCCAGGGAUAACCUGGAGGAAGGCGGGGAUGACGUCAAAUCAUCAUGCCCCUUAUGAUUUGGGCUACACACGUGCUACAAUGGCGUAAACAAAGGGAAGCGAGAGUGUGAGCUUAAGCAAAUCCCAAAAAUAACGUCCCAGUUCGGACUGCAGUCUGCAACUCGACUGCACGAAGCUGGAAUCGCUAGUAAUCGCGGAUCAGAAUGCCGCGGUGAAUACGUUCCCGGGUCUUGCACACACCGCCCGUCA
rnacentral:rRNA from 1 species